CAUUAAAAAACUGACAAGAUUUCAUGUGACCAAACAAUUAACAGUAACAACAUCAAUCUUCUCAUAUAUAUCCAAGUAGAUACCUUAAUUUUCUCUGCUCAACUCCGGGUGAUUAAUCUUAAAAGAUGCUCGAAAACCUUUUUUCACUGCGUAAAGAGAAAUUGGUGGCACUUGUUUUGGUUGCGUUGAUCAGUUUCCUAUGCUUGGCGGCACAUCAGCGAGCACUAGUCGGCAGCAGAAGAGGAGACGACGUCAUGAUGAAAACCAACCAAGUCGACCGCAACAUAGAUAACCAUCACAGCAUACCAAGGCAGUACUAUAACCAGUGGGGCAGCAGAGGAGAUAACAAUGGCGACAACAACGCCAACGAAGGUGGCUGAACCAUGCAUCCGUUACUUCCCUAAUACGCCAUCGUGUUUUUUCAGCUUUGCUGUUUCAAGUAUUUUCUCUUCCUACGACAAUAAAUCGGGUGUUUGAUUGUUAUUCCAAAAUCAUAGGAUGCUUAAAGAUCAACUACCGCUAAUACUUCGUACGAUCCUUCUAUAGUCACUCAAUGUAACAUCGGUACCUUUUAUCUGGAGAAACAUGGCGAAAAAACGCCGUCUUUGGUUUCCUGCCCUUGGGAUAAGGGUGCAUUUCCGCCAGGCCAGUUCACAAACGCGCCGCAAGAUGGACUUUGGCAGGGGCCGCCACGCCACGUUGCGCUUCUUCUCUCCCUCCCUGAAUCAACUUGUACAUAUAUAUAUAAAAACUUGCCUGAUAAAAAUAAACCUCAAGAGAGAUUAGCUGUCCAUUGUGUCGUCCCUGAAAACCGCUUGCUUUGAAAAGAUUUCGCCAUUUGUCCUGCGAUAAUUGCCACCACCAAAUCACAUGCCAACACUGGUGCGACAUUUACCCGAAAAAGAUGGUUUGAAAAGGCUUGUAGAAUUCCCAUGGGAUGGUAAAUCAUGGAAAGAGUGGCUUGAAAAGUCAUGGACCUUGUCCUUGCCAAUAUUCUCUUGUGGUGAUUUCAGAGGUUACUUCUCAGCCAAUAUUUCAGACGUAUACUCACAACUCCACUGGUUGAGAUCAACUACAUCAUUUUGGCAUUCUGGCACUUCCAUUAUUUUGAAUAGAUCUGAUUUCCACGGAGAGUCAAUACCAGCACAUGUAAGAACCGGACUGUCUGCAAGCAUUCGCUUGAAACAUAUUCCAGAUCGGUAAUUCUUUCAGCAAAUUCAACACCUGCAGUUUUCUUUUUGAUAGGUUUUGGGUUGGGUGAGGGUAGAGAAGGGGGGUUAGCAAUAUGUGCCAUUUGAGUAGAGGGAUACUCUUCUCCCAUGCUACAGAACUAAAAUAGCCACCGUCAUCCUCAAUUAAGUACCUACCUACACAUAGGUGAAAACAAUGCGGGAACGCCUGCUUUUUUUCUACAAUUUUCUUCUUAAAAAACAAAGUUCAUGGCAUCACACAUUUGUAACCGCUGGCCAAUAAUUCAGAAGAAAAAUUAAUAGUGGCCUACAUCUCUAUUGAGAAUAUCUCCCCCUUCAUGAGCAGUUGUCACACCUGCAUGAAGCACGAAUUAUGAGAAAAUUGCAGCUGGAGAAACAUUGUAGAAUUGUGAGUAAUAUUUUUCAUGUGUAGACAUAUACAAUAUGACCUGAAGGGAAAUCAAAUCAAGGAAGCCCAAAAUACAUGCUAUGUGCAACAAUCUCCCAUCCCCUUUCCGGAAGUAACAAGAAUUAUACUGCGCAGUUUAGUGCAAUUUUACAAUAUAGACUACUGCAAGCAGACAUAUGCAAGAUAGAAUUGAAGAAAUAAGCGAAAUCAGAUAAUCACAUCAGUAUCAGUUCCCCAUUCUAUUUUAGCAUCUUCUUGUGUACAGAGACAUUUUAGUAGUAACUGUUCAAGAGACUCCUA